AAUGGAAGAAUGAAAAAUCUGAUUUUUUCCCAUAAUUUUUAGCUUUUUCGUCCUGAAAAAAAAAUCAAAUCCAACUAAAAAUGUUAAAAAUCAAGAUAAGAAAUCUGAUUUUUCAUUCUCUUAUU
rnacentral:pre_miRNA from 1 species